GCCAUUUAUUCCCAAUUGCUCCCCACAGUAUAGGUCAAUUAGAGAGGAAGCCAGCAGGACUGGGGGCACGGGCAAUUCUUUUGAGGGCAGGAGACCCCUGGGCUGCCUAGUCACAGGCACCCCCUCCAUUCACAUGCUAUGUAGGAAUGCAAACUCCCAGAAAGGGAGUGGGGAUUCUGUCCAAUGCAGAGCCACGGAGUAAAUGGCCCUGGUCCUGGACACUUCCCAAGUGAGAUUUACAGUUCUGGCUCACUCUGCUCAGGCAGAAACAGCCACUUCAGCCAUAUCAGGAAUGGCCUCUUAUUGUUGACUUCCCUUUGGGGAUACGUUUUUCACAGCUAGCUAAUGCUUUUGUUUCAAGGUAGGAGGGGUUCUCAGUCUUUCCCUUCUGAAUUGUGGUUGGAUUUCUCUUUAAUCAUUUAUUUCCAAGUUCUUUUUGUAGGGCAUAUCACUGUAAUUAGCAGCCAAUGCUACAUUUCCACGGUUGCCUUACUUUCCAUGUGCUCCAUAGUCUCCAUGAAGUCCACCAUCCCAGCCGGGCCCAUCACGGUCUUCAUGCCUCUUAGAUAGAAGCCAUUUUGCACCCCACCCCAAUAAAUCUCUGGUAUAAGGUCCAUUUCAAGGUGUGAUUUUUUUUUUUUUUUUUGUGAUAUUCCUUAGCCUUCGAUCGUUGAGAUACUCUUGUUGCAAACCGUUUCAUUUUCUCUUGUGAUUUCAUAGUAUUUCGUUUCCUUUCCCCUUACAUUUUCAGAACACUGUUUCGGUCUUACCAGUGUUUUCUGGACCUUCCUGUCCAGCUGAAUUGCUCAGAACAAGCAAAUAGUUAGGUCGGAGCCACAUUCCAGGCCAUUUAAGUCAGAAUCUCCAGGGGCUGGGUCCUGCCUGGCCUGGGAAGAGAAACUUCCCUGACUAUUCUGAUGUGCUGAGAGAGAAGCAAGCUGAAUCCAACCCACGGAGGUAUCUCAAGGCCUGUGUGAAUGGAGAAAAGCGGAAACUCUCAGUAUGACUCAGCUGCAGCAGGCUUUGGGAGUGGACAUCAAAUGAUAACUACAAAAAAGCAAGAAACAAGCACAAAAGCCUAUCAGGAAACCCCCCAAAGAAGUGAAGUCUUGGGGGCUGGUGAGAUGUCUCAGCAGGAACCUAAGGUGUGUCCAGAUGGACUGUUCUCGGCCAUGAGUACUGAGAGGAGGGAUGCAGUGUUCUUCUGA
rnacentral:lncRNA from 1 species